AGCGAACGCUGGCGGCAUGCUUAACACAUGCAAGUCGCACGGGCAGCAAUGUCAGUGGCGGACGGGUGAGUAACGCGUAGGAACGUGUCCGGAGGUGGGGGACAACCCCGGGAAACUGGGGCUAAUACCGCAUAUGGGCUGAGGCCCAAAGCCGAGAGGCGCCUUUGGAGCGGCCUGCGUCCGAUUAGGUAGUUGGUGGGGGAAAGGGUUACCAAGCCUGCGAUCGGUAGCUGGUCUGAGAGGACGACCCGCCACACUGGGGCUGGGACACGGCCCAGACUCCUACGGGAGGCAGCAGUGUGUGAUGUUGGACAAUGGGCGGAACCCUGAUCCAGCAAUGCCGCUUGGGUGAAGAAGGUAUUCGGAUCGUAAAGCCCUUUCAACGGGGACGAUGAUGACGGUACCCGUAGAAGAAGCCCCGGCUAACUUCGUG
rnacentral:rRNA from 1 species